UACGUAGGGUGCAAGCGUUGUCCGGAAUUAUUGGGCGUAAAGAGCUCGUAGGCGGUCUGUCGCGUCGGAUGUGAAAACCCAGGGCUCAACCCUGGGCCUGCAUUCGAUACGGGCAGACUGAGUGUUCGUGAGGGAGAGUGAAUUCCUGGUGUAGCGGUGAAAUGCGCAGAUAUCAGGAGGAACACCGGUGGCGAAGGCAGGUCUCUGGGCCGAAACUGACGCUGAGGAGCGAAAGCGUGGGGAGCAAACAGG
rnacentral:rRNA from 1 species